rnacentral:rRNA from 1 species
UACAGGGGGGGCAAGCGUUGUUCGGAAUUACUGGGCGUAAAGGGUUCGUAGGUGGCCACUUAAGUCAGACGUGAAAUCCCUCAGCUUAACUGGGGAACUGCGUCUGAUACUGAGUGGCUUGAGUGCAGGAGAGGAAUGCGGAAUUCCUGGUGUAGCGGUGAAAUGCGCAGAUAUCAGGAGGAACACCGAUGGCGAAGGCAGGUCUCUGGGCCACUACUGACGCUGAGAAGCGAAAGCAUGGGGAGCGAACAGG